UAAAUAAAAAUGAAAAUAUAAACAAAAAACAGUUAUUCAUUUCCACUAUUUUUUAAAAAAAAUCCACAGGGAGCCACUGGAGAGGGGCUAAAGAGCCGCAGGUUGCUGCCCCCUGGUCUAGACAGAAUAACUGGCUCAAGGAGAAAUCUCGUUCUGAAAUCUCGCGAGGUGGCGUGGUACCGGAAGACAACGGUUGAAUAGUGGAAUUAACAAACUGUGGUGGAAACGGAAACGCGAGUGCCAGCCAGGCAGAGUUUGUUGUGUUGGAGGACAGAAAGUGUCGCUUAGUGUUAGCUAAAAGAUGUUCAAUGCCAUGGCUGAAUAUUUAGAUGAUUUUGACAAUGAGGAAGAAGUCUGAAUUUAAUGGCCGCCCAUGUUUGAGCCAGAGUACAAAGAUAUUCAGAUUUUAUACCAAGACUUGGACACAAUAACAAACAAACAGGAUCAAGCGAAAGAUGCUCUGUGGAGUUUGUAGUGGUUCCAUGGAGCGAUGCAUGCAAGCCCAGUAUUCCACCGGCUGACGGUUGGUGGCAGUAAUGCGUCAAGAAAUCUGGUGAUGUACCGACAAAAGGAGGCAAAGAAGAAGACUGCAAGCUGAUUUCCACAAAUGGCCACAAACAAGCAGCAAGGCUGAGUGGCGAAGCCGAAUCCAUGUCCCUUAAUCAACGAAUCCUCAUACAACGUACCGAGACAGAACACUGUCUGUGAUGCUGAUGCUCAAACCCGAACAAGUGGAUGUGGCAAAUGUGUGAUGACAAGUCGACUUGAGGCGUCAUGUGGUGAAAAGCCUCACUGAGAGCCGUCUAGCCAUGCCCAGUACCCAGCAUGCCCCAGGGCACAGACAGAAGGAGCCACGCUGUCUCCUGGGACCAGAAAUAGGUCAUGUCUGCUCUCCCUGACUGCAACACGUAGUUCCAUCCAAUAAAAGGUGCUCUGACUGUCUAUCAGGAAGUGAGAAAUCGCCCUCGGGGGGCCUGAAGAGGUUCAGAGAGAAACUCAACUCGAGCUGCCUGUAAUCCAGCUGCGCCGACGUGAGGACGAUACCAAUGGAUGCAACUGCAAGGAGGAGGUAUUAAUUUUUCAUUCGACACUCUUCAACAAU